rnacentral:rRNA from 1 species
AUGCUUAAUAUACUUAGUUUAACCUGUAUCUGUUUUAAUUCUGUUCUUUAUCCUACUUUUUUCUUUGCCAAAUUACCCGAAGCUUAUGCGAUUUUCAAUCCAAUCGUGGAUGUUAUGCAUGUUAUACCUCUAUUCUUUUUUCUAUUAGUCUUUGUUUGGCAAGCUGCUGUAAGUUUUCGAUGA